rnacentral:tRNA from 1 species
GGAGGGCUGUGCCCUCAGUGGGAGAACCUCUGCUUUUCGAGCAGAAGGCUGCAGGUUCAAUCCUUGCCAUCUCCU